UGUACUUAAUACAGUAUGUGAUAUAAACUUUCUUACCUUAAGGUGGCUAUUAUAUUAGGAAUACUAUAAAGGAGAGGUUAAGAUCACAGAUGUGGGAGUCAGACUGCUUGAGUUUGAAUCCUAGAUCUGCUACUUUUUUAGUUGUGUAACAUAAAGAAAGUUACUUAACCUCUCUAUAAUUCAGUUUCUCAUUUUAAAUGGAGAUAAUAAUUGUAUCCACUUCAUAGGGUUGUGGUCAGAGUUAAAUGAGUUGCAGUUCCCCAAAUGGGCCAUAAUCUUCAUCAUAACCAAGCCUUUGUAGUAUAUGUUCCUGCACCUCACCACUCCUUCAUUUAGGUCCAGGUUAGCUAGUCCAUUCUCUAAGAAACUUGUGAUCUCUCAAGUUCAGAUGUGCCUUCUCUUUUCUUUCUUUUCUUUUCUUUUCUUUUCUUUCUUUUCAUUUCCUUUUUCCUUCCUCCGUUCUUUUCUCCUUCCUUCCUUCUUUCUCUUUUUUCUUUCUUCUUUCUUUCUUUCUUUCUUUCUUUUUCUUUCUUUCUUUCCUUCCUUCCUUCCUCCCUUCUUCUUUUUGUGCAUGUGCAUGCACUUUCUUGAAAAGGACCCAAAGCAAUGUUACUUAUGACUCAACAUCAUACCAAGAUUCUGAGAAACUGCCCUUUCACAUUAAACAUUCAUAUUUGAAGACUAAGUCAAUCUUUGAGGACUAGUCUAGCAGACAAUUAGAAAGGGCAGCCUGGGUGCAGUGGCUCAUGUCUAUAAUCCCAGCACUUUGGGAGGCCUAGACAAGAGGGUCACUUGAGCCCAGAAGUUCAUGACCAGCCUGGGCAACAUAACAACAUCUCUACAAAAAAUAAAACACACUAGCUGGGCAUGGUGGUGCAUGCCUGUGGUCCCAGCUACUUGGGAGGCUGAGGCAGGAGGAUCACUUAAGACCAGAAAUUUGAGGCUACUGUGAGCUAUGAUCACACCACUGCACUCCAGCCUGGACAUCAGAGUGAGACCUUGUCCCAAACAAACAAACAAAAACACAGAAACGGCAAAUUCCCUCCUGUCUUCAAUGUCACCUCACCUCUCUAGUAACCAAAACUCUGCUACCAGCCUAAACUUGUUUCCCAGACUCUUUUUUCUGAAGAUGGAUUAACUCCUGAGGGCUUUGCAAAUUCUUCAUGGACGCAGAUUUCUGGAGAAUACAUCCCAGCACUUCACUGAAAAUGACAAACCUGGUCUAGAUCUCAAUAGAUGCAUCCUAGAUUAAAGCUGGGAUCGCCAUUGUAUUAACAUAAGAAAAAAAAUCUUCCCUACAUUUUCUGUGGACUCUGUGUGUGUGUUUCUUUUGAGGUUGGGAUGCUUUUUAAUCUCCUACAUUGUGAUAAUAUCUAUCCCUGCUUUUGAGCCAAGUUAAAUGCAGCCUCAUGUGCUGAAGGCAUAUAAGUCCGUGGCAAAAAAAAAAAGAAGACAUGAAAAGGGAAGUUGGAGCCGAAGCUCACAAAGACAUUGGGAAGAGGGAAUGUACUGCCCAGAAUGGUUCCAAUAAAAGUCAGGAAAUGAUCCUCAAGUCAACAAAAGUUUAGAGUUAGUGACGCUUGUAAGACUUUAAUAUUUAAUAUAACCCCUCCAGUUUGAUCAAAAGCAUCUUACAUUUUCUGGCAUUUGAGUGAAAAUAAUUCCUGGCUUCAUUACAUUUUAAAAAUUCAGCUAAAAGUCAUAAAAUAAAGUAGCACAAAAUUUGUAAUGUAAAUAUUAAAUGGCAGUACAGUGUUCAACACAAUCCACUUUCAUUCUCACCAUCAUCCAUGGCCAUGAGUCCCUUCAUUUUCAUUCAUUUAUUUAUUCACUAUAUAUUUAUUGAGGAGUCACCUUGCACAAGUCAAAAGAAAAAUCACAGUUGACUCAUAAGGGAAAAAGAACUGAAAUACAGUGAAGGGAAACAGUAGAUGAAUAUACAAGAUAUAUUAGAGGAAAAAUGUUAAUACCGUUGACCUAAUGAACACUUUUUAUGUUCCAGGCACUAUUCUAAACACUUUAUUAACUAUUUUGAUCCUCACAGAACACCUAUGAGAUGGACACUCUUAUUGCCUCCAAUAUACAGGUGAGGAAAUUAAGAUGAAGUCAAGUUAUAUACUCAAAUUUUUAAAAUAAUUUCUCUGUUAUGUGCUUUGGAUGGUAGUCAAGGUAACUGUCUUGUUCCAGGAAUAUUUUUCCAGGGGAGGGGGCCUAUAAGGAGCAUAUUGGAAAUAUUGGAUUUGAGCAGAGGUGAGCAACCUUUUUUUGUGGAAAACCAGAUAGUAAAUAUUUCAGUUCUGAGGGCUGAGUGGUCUCUGUUGUUUAGCUUUGCCAUUGUAGUGCAAAAGUAGCUGUAGGCAAUAUGUAAACAAAUGAGUGUGGGUUUGCUCUAAAAAUAUUCCAGUUAUGGUCAUUGAAAUUUAAAUGUGUUUUAAUUUUUACAUAUCACAAAAUAUUCUUCUUUUGAUUUUAUUUCAACCUCUACUAAAGGUAAACGAUUUUUAGUUCACAGGUCAUACAGGCAGAGUUGGAUUUGUCUCAUGGACUGUAGCUUGCUGGCCUCUGGCUUAGAAAAUAUAGAAUAUGAGUCCCAUUAAAGGAUGAAUGGGAGUUUUCCAGGCAGACAAAGGCAUUCCAAAUGAAGAAAAUAGCAGCUGGCAAAGACAUAAGUAGGUGAACAGGCCUGACUGUUUUGAAGAGCUAUAAACGGCAUCAUUGUCACUAGGUGUUGGAGUGGGUGGAAGACACAGAGAAGGGAAUGGAAGAAUCUCUUGAGGGAAUUUGACCUUUACUGUGUAGGCAGUGGGAAACCACUGUGGAUUCUGUGAUAUAAUGAGGUUUGCAUUUUGGAAAGUCUCUCUGGAAGCAAAGUGAAAAACUGAUGCUAGUAGUCCAAAGCAGAAGAAAAAGAAAACAUUUAAACAAUUUUGGUAGUACAGCAAAAGACCAUAUAGAUGCAAGCUGCUCAUCUCUUAGUUCCUUGGAAUUUUCUGUUUUCUUCACACAUACCAUGUCCUUUCCUGACUCAGAACCAUUGUAGAUGAUAUUCUUCCUUCCUGGAAUUUUUUUCUUCUCUUAUAUCACUUAACUCCUUUUCAUCCUUUAGGUUUCAGUUUUAAUGUCACUUCUCCAGGAAAGCUUUCAUAGACCCCACUCAGAUCAGGAUUCACAGCCUUUUGAGACACAAAAGUGGACUUGUACUUCUCUUUAGCUACAAUCGCAUAACAUUUGCUCAGGAUCUGUCUCCUGUGCUAGACUGUAAGUCAACUGUCUGCCCCUAUAUUCCAGGGUCUUUCACAGUGCCUACUUCAGAGUAGAUACUCAAUGAAUAUUUGUAGUGACAUGGGAUUGAAAGAAAGGAUACUUACCAAGCAGCAUUGACUUGAAUUUUGUGAUUUAACAGUUGAAUGAGGAAUAAAAUAGGGCUAAGGAUAAUUCCUAGAUUUGGGUGACAAAAUACUUGGUGGCACACACAGAGAGAAUAUAGGAUGGAAGUUAAAUUUGAGGCACUUAUGGAAACGUUGAUUUUGAAUUGCCUCUGGGACAUCUGAGGAGACAUGUCAGGAGAUGUUUUGUCUCCUCCUCACUGGACUAGGAUGAUCAUUUUAUAUUUGAUCCUGAUUAAAACCUGAUUCAUCGUAAUUCAGUCCUAAUAUCAGACUUAGAAAUGCAUAUCUUCAUAAUUUAAUUUAAAAUAUUCAUUUUAAAAUAAAAUUUAUUAUUAG
rnacentral:lncRNA from 1 species